AAUAACAUGAUAUGCAAAAAUCAGACUUUACAAAUAAAUAAAUUUAACAAUGCAUGAAUCCUCCAUUCAUUCAUUCAUCCUUUCUACCACAAACUUCAUAUAAUCAAACUAAACAACAUCAACAAAAUGGGCAGAGAACUAAACAUUCAUCAUUUAUGCCAUUUUUAAAAAGAAAGUAACCAUUUUUAAUUGAACGAAACUUACUAUUUAUUCCAUCAUAAAUUUGUUCUAUUUAGUCUCAUUUAUUUUAAAACUAGCCAUCUAUCACAUUAAUAUAUUUAAGCCUAAGGAAAAAGUCAAACCAAAAUAUACACCAUCACAGUACACGUCUAUACACCUAAUCCAAGUGAAUGGAGAAUUCACCUAGGACUUUUUACAAACAGAUGAUGUGCAUCUAUUCCAUCACAAGAUAAGACACCUAACUAAUUAUAUGAAUGCACAGGUAUUUUGCUCCAACUUACGAAUAAAUAAAAUGGCCCAAAUGCAUACAACAAAGAUUAAAAAAUAAGUACAUAGUCACCCUCGUCUCCCUAACAUCUCUCUCUUUUUUUUUAUCUCAAAAAGAACACAUCAGUUUUAUUAAAACUCCCAGCCUGCCAACGUACGUACAUAUACUAUAAUCCCACGCCCAACACAAAAUAGCAAACUCUUUCUCUCUCUACUUCUCAAGUUGCUCAAAACAGAGAAAAUAAAAAGCAAAACAUAAACUCCAAAGCCAACACAGAAUGGAUACAUAAUAGCAAUUAAAAUAAUUGAACAUAAAUACUCCUACACUACACACGUCUACUUCCUACCCCUCAUAGAAUGAAAAGACAACAAUUUAAAAAGAGGAUUGAACAUGAUUACUCCCAAACCUCACACGUAAACUCCCCAACUUCAUUUUUUUAGUCAAGCAUUACAACUUAAACACGUAAACAAAGAAACUAUUACUCAUAUUCCAUACUCUUCUUCCUCUCUGUCCUAUCACACUCUGAAACACAUAUAUCGGCUAUACCUCUCUCUCUAGUUCUCAAUAUUUUCGUCCAAAAUCACAAAUAGGAGAUACCCAACUCUCUCUUCUAAACUCACGUCUCUAUUCUUUUUCCCAAAACAAAUUCUUUCUCUCACAAAACAGCAAUAGUAGAAAAAGACUCCCAUCUCCCUUGUUUCAGAAUUUAAAUCUUUCAUUAAAAUUUCCAGUUGUUCGUUUCAAAUAUUCAUGGGCAGACAGAGAAAUUUAAGAAUUGGAAUUGGAGUUGGAGAAAAACACAAAAGGCACAUUCUAAGCAUUAAAGAUCGAAGCUUUAGGAGGGAGCAUCAUUCAAUAGUUCCAAGAAUUUCAAAAGGGAUUUAUAUCUCGUGUGUGCUUAUGUGAAACUAAAUCAUGGAAUGAGAUGCAGAGGAUUCAGAAAAAAAUAGUGGAUAUACCUUCACGGAAGAAGCAGAACUUGCAGAAGAGAAGAUUUUUGAACUCAAUGGGAGAAGAAGAAAUUACCUUCAAUGAAGGGAAGAAAAGCUGCAGGAAUGACGGUUUGUUGAGAUUGUGGGAGGAGAUGUAUAAAUGGAGUUAAUAGAGAGUAUUUGGUUGGAGAUUUUUAAGGUGAGAAUGAGAUAUGGAGAAAACUGAAUAGAAGUGGGAUUGAGAGAAAUUUAUUUGACUAAAAUUUGACUGCACGAGGAGUAGAAUAAUUACUUAUUAUUUUGGCUUCUCAAAAAUUGGUCAACUAAAAAGAAAUAAAGGCUAGAACAAUAGAGAUAAAUUAUAGGCUCAAAUAUAUAUAAUUUUAGUACAUUGAUUAAAUUGUGGUGUUUUAUUAUUUUUGUA